CACUGUGGAAAACACAAAUGCCAUGUUGCUUUUGCCCUGGUGAAUAAGCAGUGUGGUGUUUGUUUAAUGAUACAAGUCCAUCCUGUUUUCCAGCUGCACCUUGGAUAGUAUUGAUCUGUUUGGGAAAAUGUCUGCUUCGAAUCUGCAUAGAUCAGUCCCCAGGACUCUCAUCAUCCCACGUUAUUUUCUGGACAAAUUGGUGGAAAUGAGACCCAGGUCAGUAUGGGUUCCAACAGGGACUCUUGUGGGCAUCGGCAAAAGAUACAUCCAACUUCUGUGGUACAGAAUGGUGACACACCUGUUCAGUGACAUCACAGAAAAACAGCUGCUAUUUCUUUUACUGUUUUAUCUCCUAUAAAUGUUAAAUAUUGGGUUGGUAGAUAUCUAAAUGUCAAGGGGGACAUUUUAAAAUAAAAAUACUGUCUUUCAUUUUUGUUGUAUGCCUCCAAGUUUGACUUCUUAUUUUUUUCCUUUCUGUUCUGCCAAAAAAGUAAAUGUAAAUUAUGAGAAACACAAUAGGACCACUUUGUAACUGAAUUUCUGGGCAGCAUACAAAGAGACUACUGUUUUCUCAUUUUUUUUUUUGGUCAGCUUCAAAAGCUGUCUUCCUUCUGAAGUUUAUAAAUUUAAAAUAUUAGAGUUUAGCAAAUGAUUCAAGCUAGUUCCCAAGGUAAGCUGUUGAACUCAUGUAAAAUUGUUGUAUAGGAUCUGAAUUGACCUGGUUAACUUUCUGUCUCUAAAAAGAGAAUAUUGAAGGAGAGGGAAGAGACUAUAUGUAGAAACUUUGGAAGUCAUGAACGGAUAGCUUUUAGUUUUUGCCUUAAAGGUCACACAAUUUUUUAAGUUAGGUGUUUUGCAAAAUGAAUUAUUUUCUGAAUGCAAAUAACCAAUCUUGGUUAAACAACAAAACUUAAGCUUUGAGAAAUAGGCUGAAAUGAUUUUAAAAUCAGCUUUUGUCUUCUAGAUACAAAAACAAUUAUUAAUGCGUCAUGAUCUUUGGAAUUGUGGAAUUUCGUAAGUUAGAAUAAGGAUUUGAUUGGGGGUGGAGGGUAAUAGUUGUGUACUGGCAGAAUUAUUGCAGAACUAAAAAGUUAAGAAAUGUGAGUACAUACAGGCAAUGUUUAUCCAAGAUAUGCAAACAAGUUAAGUUUCUUUAAAAAAAUCAUAAAUAAAAUAGUAAAAUCAUUUAAUAAAAUAGUAAGAUAACAAUUCAUUGCUUGAACUUUUCUCUUCAAUGUUACUUUGGUGUUACAUAAUGUCAGUUAAUCAUGGCAGUUCUUUCUUUUUGGUACUACUCAUUUUUAUGUAACGUUUUUCUUGCCUUUAUUUUCCCUUCCAAUUUUAGAAAUGUAUUGGGUUUCCAGAAAUCACCUAAGAUAUAAGCCACAUAGUCACUUAAACUAGCCAUGUCAGUAUAUUUAUCUUAGCAUCAUUAAGUCAUUAAAAUAACUUAGUAAGCAAUUCAAAUUGUGCCUCAGGAAAGAAAUAUUAUAUUGGAUUAAAAGAAAGUUCUAAAAUGUUUCAGGUCACUUUGACACUACAAGUGGUUCAUGUAUUUGGCUAUGCCUGAAAAUAUCAAUAUGUGAUCUUUUUACUUUUUAUCCUGAUUCCAUUUACACUUUAUAUUGCACGGAAAGCAUGAGGAGGGCAAAUCAGUACUUGCUGUUCUGUUUCCCUGCUUUAUGUUCAAAACAAUGUGUCAAUCAAAUAAGAGCCACCUUCCUGAAUUAUUCAUUGGCUAAAGCUUCUUUACAGAAGCCCUCCUUCAAGAUCCCUGAUGGGUUUACCACAAGAAGGACUUUUGUGGCAGUUUCUAACUGUCUGUUAAGGAAAUUCCAAGAGACUCUGGAAACACUUCCUAUCUAGCUACUGCUCACUGGAAACCUGGUACUCUCACAAAGUCCUCUGAGGUUCUUGGCAAGAAAAGAGGCUCUAUAAAAUCAAGAUAUGUUGUUCUUGGGAUAAAUUCCUCAUUUUUAGCAGAAGAUCCUUCUCAAAUGUUCACUUUUCAGCAAACCUUAGAAAAAAAUCAUAAAAAAUAUACUGGCCAUAAAUGAAUAUUGCCCUCCUAUCCAUUCCAGAAAAAUAUUUAAAAAUAAUCUAGAUGAGGAUUUGGGUGUGUUUGGCUUUGGGAUAAUAGUUUUCCCCCAAACCUUCCUCUCUGGCUUCUUUGGGGCCAUUGUGUUAUUCCUCUCACUUUGGGGCUUGUCUGUGUGAACUCCGACUGCCUUUGUGACGCUGUCGUUUGCUCCCCUCUGCAAUUAUCCUAGUCUUUACUUCUGAUGUCCACCUUGACCUCAGGCAGGGAAUGCAAUGCAGAAGGAGCCAGGGGUUUAGAUCUCUAAACCUUGAUGCCAGAGUAUUCUGGACUCUGCCAGCCACUUCUGUUCCUACUAUUUUUUUUAUUGUUGGCAUAGACUUUUUCAAUCUUAUUUCUGUAUCUGUAAAGUGGGGAUAAUGCUCACUGGCACAUGAAUUAAGAAGAAUUGCUUGUUCACUGUGUCUAGGGCAGUGUUUGGCACUUAGUAGCCACACAAUAAAUAUAUGUUGAACGAAUGAACAAAUAACAUGCAAAAGUUUCCAAAUGAAUUUAAGUUACUGUUUUUUUGGAAAGGAUAUUGCACUUAAAACUAGUCUGUUUUUAGUACACAUAGAUAAAAAUUUUUUUUAAUAAUAUUUCUGCCCUGACUUGAUUCUGGCCCUGGGCCAUGAAAAUAUCAGAAGAGCACAAGGAAUGAGGCUAAUAUAGACUUUUUUUCAUUAUAAAUUGUGUGGGGUCUUUCAGAGCAUACUGUUUUUUCCCUUGAUACAAUAAUAAAAAAUGCUUAUUAUUAUUUCUUUCUACUUUUUAAGGAGAACCAUUUUGUAGACUCUUCAUUUAGAUUUUUCUCAUCUUAAUAUUUUAAGAUUUAUGUGAAGAAGAAAACUAGAAUAUAGGAUCUUACUAAAUCCACCACGUUCUAUAUUUUUUGGAGACUUCAAAGUAGGCUUGCAGCUCAGGGAUAAUGAAGACAACUAUUGUCAAAGCUCAUUUUCUGAUUCACAGGCAUAAUCUGUACAAAUAUGAGUAUGGUUGUGCAGAUAUGCACCUAUGUACAGGUACACAUACACACAAACACACACACACAUGAAAUCAGGACAGUGGAAGUCCAUUCAAUGGCUAUGCUGGAGAAGGCAAACUUUAAUUCUUACUUGUGUGAUUUGCCAAGAUUCCUUAUUGCAUUCCUGUUAAAUCUUUUUAUUUUUGGUACCGGGCAUUGAACUUGGGUCCUUGCGCUUGCACAGCAGGCAGAGAAACCACUGAGCCAAAUCCCUGGCACCUUGUUAAAUCUUAAAUAACUUGAGCUCACAUUUCCUUUGCUGUUGUUUAAAUUAGUGGUGAGUUUCCUUCUUUGAACAUCCCUGUGAUUAAAAAUUGAAAUGUUACGAUAGUUUCUGAAAUUGUUAAUCUGCCUGAUCGUCUGUCUAAAAACCUCACAGACACUUGAGACUUGACAUUUUUGCAUGUUAUAUUUUAAGAUAGCUUACAUUUUAAAAAAACUAGAGGUGCAUUUAUUGUGAUAUAUCACGCUCAUCUGGGUCUGAACUAGCAUCCAGAAUCAAUUAAUUAUUGCAAUGAAAUGUAUGAUAUUUCAUUAAUGGAGAUUAAUGAAGAAUAUAAACAGCAUGAAAAUUUAAGUCAGAUUUUGCCACCAAAUGAGUUCAGGUCAAGCCAAGUUCUACCAUCAAAUGAUUUCAGGGAAACAAGUAAACAACUUUUGGUUUUUAAGAAAGUUUGGAUAUUUGAAUUAUAGAAAAAGGAUUAUAGAUUGGUAUUUCAAACCCACAGUUAUUAACUGUAUAUUAAAAAAUUCAAGUAAUAGAAAAAAUUCAUUUUAUUGAGAGUCUUGUGGAGGGAAGUAAAUGACUUGCCUUGGGAUAAUUUUUUCCUUCAUAGAAAACUUACCAGUGUUUCAGCCCGCAGUCAUAUGAAAAUCAGCUCAAGCUAUUUCUGUGGCUGGCAGUUAAAAUGGCUUGAACUCCACUAGAGGGCAGUUGGGCCUUAUCUCAGUGGACUUUAGGGUUACCAGAAAUGGUCCUGUCAUAAGUAAAUUUUGUCUUUGACCACCAGUCAUUUCUGUUUUUAUUUGGCACACAUCUGUCCUACCUGAUAUCACUCACACAUCUGUAUGUCAGAUGUAUGAUUCACCUACACAUCUGAUUCUGUAUGUAUGAUUCACCUACACAUCUACAUAUCAGUGAUCCCUGUGCUUAUGUUGCCAGCCUAGAUGGCUCUUCUGGGCUCAUAGUCACCAUUUCUAGUUGUCUAUCUUAAAAAUCACUCAAUCUUGACAUGUAAAGAUUGACCUCAAGCACUCCACUGCCUGUUCUUUACCACCAGUUCUUCUAUUCCAGUGCUCUGUGGCUUAGCCAAAGUCACCUUAAUCAACUUGCCUGAGCAAGCCGAGGAAGCCAGCCUCAGCAGAUCCUUUCCUACACAAUUCUUCACCAAGUCCUCUUUACUUGCCAAAUAUCGCUCAUAGUCUAUCUAUAUUUUUAUAUCUCCACCCUUGCUAUCACCUUCUGCUUGGCUACUAGUCAUCUAAAGGCCUCCUAGUUCUGGGCAGGCCUCGUUCCCAGCUUCCAAGUUUCUCUUUUAUUCUCUACUUCCCCUGCUCACACCAUAGGCUAUUCAACCAAUCUCAGUUCCCACCUCCAGUCUCAUACACCUUUUCCCCAUGAAAUAUUGUUUUUUAGGCAUGUGAAAGGCCAGUGUACCAAGGAUGAAAGCUGUGAGAGCCAAUUUUCCAGGAGAAUAAUGAGAGUUCAUAUAUACAAGUGGUCCUCAUUUUACAUGAGUCCUGUAAGCAUGAAUUUUAGUUAUCAUAAGUUACUUAAAUAAUACCAGUUCUCCAACAUCAGGCUCUUUAUUUGCCAUGACUGAUAGAGAGUUCACUUUCACCUAAGACCUUGAGAGAUCCAACAGCUAAAAAAAUAAUGAGGCUCUGCUUUUGUUCAUUUAUCCAUUCACUUAUUCAGCCAUCACUGAGUAUUUCCAGUCCUUAUUACAAGCUGUAAGAAACUAUUAUGCAAGGCAGAUCAUAAUUGAUUAACUUACCAGGAAGAAAGAAAGAAAAAAAUUGAAUUUCAUAUAUAUGUACAUAUACUCACACUUUUAAAAAACAAAAUGAGGAAGAGAGAUAAGUCACUGAGAGAGCAUGAAGCUACAAGAGAUAGAGCAGUUAGUGAAAACAUCCUAGUGUGACUCUUUGGGAAGAAAAGAAGAAUGUCACUGUUAAUCAUGAUCACCAACUUGACUGGAUUAAAAGGUUAAUCUAGCAAAUUAGUAAAACACACUUCUGAGUAUAUCUGGGUGAAUCAUGGGUGCAUGCUUUUGAAGACAAUAUCUAGUUCCUAGCCCUUUCCUCUCCUGUGCUUUCUCCAACCUGCUUGGGUCCCUAGCUGCCAUGAAGUGAGUAGCUUUGCUCCAACAUGCCCUUCCCCCAUAAUGUUCUUGCCUUGGAGCUAGAGAACAAUGGACUGAAUUCUCUGAAACACUCAGCCAAAUUAAACCUUUCCUCCUUUAAGUUGUGGGUGUUAGGUAAUUUUUUCCCUAAUAAUGAGAAAACUGACCGAUACAAGAAACAUACUUGCUCGAAAUUGUAGGUUUGCUUUGAAGUUCCUUUCCUCAGUGUUCAACCACAAGCACACUUCAAUAAAGUCUACUUCUUCAAUAAAGUCUACACACACACAGACACACACACACAGAGGAAAAAAAUUAAAAACUGAGAUCACAUCUUUUAAAUUUACAAUUAGAUCUUCUCCUUAAUGAGAAGGAGGUUUUAUCAGAAGAGCACUCUUUUUCACUAUUUUUGAUGCUGUCUAACUGCUUCAAAGUAUGGCUAUUGUAUCAUUCUUCUAUUAAUGGAGAUUUGUUUUCUGCACUUUUAAAAUUACAAACCAUGACUUAUUAAACCUCCCACCUUUGUGCACAUAUUGAGAUAGUCUCCCAUGCAGAUUCCUUAAAAUUGCUAAGACUGGGGUAUAGCUCAAAGAUGGGGCACAUGCUUAGCAUACACGAGGCCUUGGGUUUGAGUCUCAGCAUUACAAAAACCAAAAAUCCUGAAAAAUCAAAUAACCCUCCCAAAGCCCAAACAAUUAAACAAACACACAAAAUUUUUUGUUACAUCAGUAUAUUCUAAAUUUUGAUAGAUAUUGUCAAGUCGGAUCAAUCUAUACUAUUGGAAUAUACUUGUUUCCAUUUAUAAAGACCUAAUAUUUAAAUUUAUUUAAAUUAAAUGUCAUCUGAUGUUUGAAAAAUAUUUCAUUUUUGUCUUGGUUUACAUUUCCCUAAUAUAGUGUACAGAUCAACUUUUGUAUUUGGUGAGUACACCUAUUUUUGUCAUAUCUUUUGCCCAUAUUUAUAAACAUUUAUUUUUUAAUUUGAAAGAGCUCUUCAGAGCCAUUUGCUUAAUUUAGUUAACAAGCACUUACCAACCAUUGGUAUUGUACAGGUGUAAUGAUAAGUGUUGGAAUUUCAGAGUUGUACAAUGUAGAAACCUUGCCCUGUUCAGGCUGAGAUGGUUAGAGAGAAUGUAGGGUUGUAAAGAAACUAAAUGACAUAAAAUAUUGCAACUGUCAUGUUAGAAAAAUUGCCUAUGUAAGAAUAUUGGGUCAUGGACAAUUGCUUAUCAGUAAUCGGAGGAAGAAAGUUUGAAAAAAGCAUAAAACUUUAUCUCUUCAGUAGCAAAUCCAGAAUAUACUGAUAGUUGCUAUGUUUUUUUAGCUUAAUGUUCUAUGCUUAAAUGUGACUGUAUAUAUUAAGUCCAGACAUUAUUGUUUAUUGUUUAUGCCCUAGGUUUUCAAGGUCAGAGAACUAAGGACAAAGAUUUUUUCAGAUUAUUUAUUAUGAUAUUGAGUGUCUUUUAACUGUGUCUUGAAUUGCAAUGAUGAUGUUACUCAACUGAACUACAGCUCUUUGACGUCAUCCAUGACCAUCCACUGCACGUGUCCAAAUAGCCAUACUCGGACACGCACAGUCAUACAGACGCAGUGAGGCAAAGUGGCAUCAUGAGAAAAGACUAGACAGGAUGCAUCUGGAAUGUUAUUUGGUGAAGAGGACACUGCAACUGGAAAGACCCACCUACAUAAGCCUCCCAAGUGGGAGUUGUUUUUAUCAAUAGAAUUUAAGCCAGAACAACGUUCAAAAAGGAUUCCAAAAAACAUAAUUCUGGGCUUCUCCCUUGUGAUGCUGAAGAGAACAUGAAAGAAGAUAUGGAGCUGAGUGGAUAACAGACCAGCUGGAACACUCUGGCAAAUUGUGUGGCAGACCUUCAGUAUGGUAUGUGAACAAACAGACAAGAAAGCCAAAUUGCCAACAAAAGGUAAUUAUAAAUUAUUUGUUUAAAAAUCUCCUUAAAAACAAAGUUCUAAAUAUUCAAAGUCUUAAAAAUGAAAUUACCUGUAUGUAGCAUCCUGACUCUAGUUAGUAAUAAUUUAUCACAUAAUUGAAAAUUGCUACGACAAUAGAUUUUAAAUGUUUUCACCCCAAAAGUGUUAAGUAUGGAGGUAAUAGAUAUGUUAGUUAGCUUGUACCCAUAAUGUUUACCUAUAUCAAAAAAUCACCUUGUAUUCCAUAAGCAGUCAAUUAAAAAUGAAAAAAUAUCAUAUCAAUAACCACUGGAUCUUUACUAUUUUAAGAAUGGAGUAUUUCGGGCCCUGAUUUCUUAGAUGCUAGUGUCUUAUACUAAAAUAUUCAUGGAAAUGGCUAAGUAAAAUGUUUGGUUAAACAAAAAAAUGUACUUAAGUGGGAAGGAAAAAGAUACACAUCAUUUUUAGAAUGAAAGUGUUAGAAGAGAAGAGAGGGAUUUUGUGGGACCAAGAGAAACUUGUAUAUAGUUAUUUUAAAAAUUUAACUAGGAAUUUUUACAUAUUGCUCCUACAAUUAAGAAAAGAAAUAGAUCCAUCCUAGCAUAAUUAGUAUCUUAACAUAAUUGUUUAAAUUAAUUCUAUGAUACCAUAUUUUGUGACAGCUACUGAGGGCAGGGAAUAGCAGAAAACUUGAGUUCUGGGCCAAUUUCUGCAAGAGCACUAUGUGGCAUAUGACUUUCAGUAAGUGUCCAUAGGCCUCUGUCCCAGUUGUGAAACAAGGGGAUUGAAUUAGAGGAUUUUUAAGACUCCCUCAAUACUGAAAGCCUAUUAUUCUAGGAUUUAUUGGAGAGAAAUAUUAGAAGCAUGGAAUGGCUCAGGGUGUGGGG
rnacentral:lncRNA from 1 species